ACACACACACACACACGAAGGCCUUGCUGGGUGUUGUCCUGGCCCAGACUGAAGUGAUACCGUCCCCUCUGCCGGCCUGGCUCGACCACAGCACAGAAUCCUGAGCCGCAAAUGUGGAACCUGGGUAAGGGAAUAGCUUGGGAUCACCUAAAAGAGAUUUUGUCCAAGAAAGUGGCCUGCGGGGGUAAGGGUGGCUCAGCAGUAAGAGCUGUGGGCGAUUCCAAGAGCUGACGUUGAGGAGGGGAACUGCACGGCACCUGGGAGAGGGGGAGGGCUCAGGAGGGAGACGAGGAACCCAGGGAAGAUCCCAGGCAGCCAGGGAUCCCCUGGGGGGGCGGUGUUCUCCCCGCGGCGGCGGCUGCGCAGCUCGGGCGGCAGGUUCCGCGCAGUGCGCAGCCUCUCUGCACACGGCCGGCCGCCAUCUUGAGCUGAGCUGCGCGCGGGGCUGGUGCACACGGCACCCCCCCUCCCCCGCCCCCCGCCGCCUGCCUGUCGAGCCGAGGUGUCCGCCCAGCGGCUUGGCGCCAGGAGCCGCGUGAGGUACCGCGUGUGAGGCCUCCGCACGUGGUGCCCUGGGAGCCAGGGAAACUAGACAGAGCACAAAGGAAAAGAAAACAAAAAGGGUACCGAGAGUCCUCAAAGUGCAUUCUGGUGAGGAUACGUAGUGCAGACCUCGUCCUUCCUUCUUCUGGAUGCAUCGUAUGUCCAGCCUGCUCUGGCAACUGUGAGCAAAGGGACAUACUUGGCUUGCCUCCUCAAGAGUUCAUAACAGAGUGAAAUUCACCUCUUUGAAUAGCUUUUUCAUAGGCCCGGAGCAGAGUUGCUGGAAAGUGUAAACCCUGUGUGCAGUCAGAGGAAACUCCGUGCUAGGGAAAAGCACCUCCUCUUCCUCCAGAUAAUUUGGAUGAUCCAGCUCUCCGCGGUCAUUUUCAAGGCUUCGUGCUGACAUACACAUCAUUCGCUGCACAAAGAGAAAUUUGCUGAUGGAUGCUGCUAAGGAAACCGGACCGUGUUUUGUUGUGUGAGCAGCCAUUCUACUACCUCCUUGGUCACCUACUGGAGGAGAGAAGAGGAUCAUUUCUGUGGCCAGUUGUCUUCAUUGUGUACUUUCUGUGUGUUAAUCCUUUUGGGAUUAAAAAAUACAUAUUUGGGGGG